AGAGAGGGAGAGAGAGGGAAGAGGGAGGGAGGGACAGAGGCCGCUGACCAUUUCCAGCUUGGAGUGAACAGCUGUGACCACAGUCUCUGAAGAGACCUCAGCCAUGCCUCUGUCAGAAGGUCCCAAAGCGACCGCAGGGCUACCAAGGGAAGGCUGCAGACCCUGGCGAAACCGAUUCCUCAGGAGGGAAACGCCCUCAGGGCUCACGGAGACACAGACAACCUGCACCAUCGCUGGUUGGUCUGAGUGCCUGCUGUGAGCUGGUGGGCUCAGCAUGAGUGAGGGGCCCUGGGCCAGGCAGUCCGGGAGCACCAGAUAAAUGCUAGGUGGGGAAAGUCCUUAACCCAGGACUUCUCCAGGCCCCUCCAUGCCAAUGUGUGGACACCUGCGAGAGUACUCUGCACCACCCCAGAUUAUUCAUGCUCCAGGAGCCUCAGGCAAAGGGGACUCAUGCCUGUGGGUCACACUUUGUAGGCUGUGACCUGUGGAUGCGAGGGGACAGGAGGCACCCUGACGUGGCCACGUCCUCCUGUGCUCACUUUGCUUCUUCUGAUUUUGUCCGGGGCUGGAGAUGCAGAACCUUCCUGUUUGCAGUCCACGAGACCAAGGCAUCCCUGAGCUGGAGCAGUUCGUCUGGUUAUGGCGCUGGCUGAAAAAGAACCGCAUGCCAUCUUCUUGUCCUCAGCCUCUCCUAAAGGUUAAUACCAGUGUCCUCAGUCAUGGGCAGAAUCAACUCCACCCACAGUAAGCGAGCUAGCAAUGACUUUGGUCUCUAAGAAGGAGUCUCUCUGUGCAGACGUAUCUGGGGAAGUUGUGGCCUCCGUAAUUGUUUCUGUUCUUCUUGUUCAUGUUUUUUCCCUCCAGAAAGCUCCAGUGUUUGGCUUCCAUGUGAUGGGGCAGUUUUGAAGCUUUCAUGUCUUCACUGGACAGCCGUUCGCCACACUUUAGAAAGCAGACAUGGAGAAUGUGAAUAAACUGUUAUGAGGAACGUGUGAUUUAA
rnacentral:lncRNA from 1 species